UACGUAGGAUGCAAGCGUUGUCCGGAAUUAUUGGGCGUAAAGAGCUCGUAGGCGGUUUGUCGCGUCUGCCGUGAAAGCCCGGGGCUCAACUCCGGAUCUGCGGUGGGUACGGGCAGACUAGAGUGAUGUAGGGGAGACUGGAAUUCCUGGUGUAGCGGUGAAAUGCGCAGAUAUCAGGAGGAACACCGAUGGCGAAGGCAGGUCUCUGGGCAUUAACUGACGCUGAGGAGCGAAAGCAUGGGGAGCGAACAGG
rnacentral:rRNA from 1 species